CAACAAGCAACGAAAAUCAACUCGCACCACCGCUAAAAUAGUAAAUGAAUCUUUUUUUCAUCUAUGUGUUUAUCUCUCAUGUUGGAAGAGCUGGAUUGACGGAGCUUGUUUGUUAGUUCGUUAUUGAUGAGGAGUCGUUCAGUCUUCGAAUUGAUUUGGCAAAUUAUAUUCCUUUUGCUGAUUGCACACAGCUAGGGACUCAUAGUUCGAUCUCUACAAAUUUGAAGAUGUAAAGGGUUAUAUGCUCUAUUCCUAUUUGUAAGACGAGUAGAGCUGACCAAUGGGUUUGACACUUUAAUGACAGAGCUGUUGUACUCAACACUUGAAAUGAUGGGUAAAUGUUCAGAGCAUGAUUUUGGGUCAUUAUUCAAACACUUUUGAUCUAUAAAUGGAGGAGAAGUCUCACGUUUCAAGAAUCAUUGAACCAUCUCAGUCGUUAAAUCUCAUUCUUUCCCAACAAUAAGCUUCAAGAACGAAAGUCUCUUUGAGGCUUGAACGUUCUAGGUUACCUCAACCCUAUGAAAACCUGUGGAGAAGUGAUGUUCGACCUUGAAAGAGAGAUGAAUCACCCUAGGAAAAAAUUGGUCGAGCAUGAAAUCUAUACAUUUCUUUUAGUUUAUCUUUGCAAUUGUCUAUCUCAAUUUCUUUUCAUCUAUUGAACAUUUACCUUGUAGUCAUGGUUUUCUAUUUAAUGAAAUCUAGUUAUUAUUAUUAAUCA